rnacentral:rRNA from 1 species
AGUGAACGCUGGCGAUAGGCCUAACACAUGCAAGUCGAACGGCAGCACAGUAAGAGCUUGCUCUUACGGGUGGCGAGUGGCGGGCGGGUGAGGAAUACAUCGGAAUCUACUUUUUCGUGGGGGAUAACGUAGGGAAACUUACGCUAAUACCGCAUACGACCUACGGGUGAAAGCAGGGGAUCUUCGGACCUUGCGCGAUUGAAUGAGCCGAUGUCGGAUUAGCUAGUUGGCGGGGUAAAGGCCCACCAAGGCGACGAUCCGUAGCUGGUCUGAGAGGAUGAUCAGCCACACUGGAACUGAGACGCGGUCCAGACUCCUACGGGAGGCAGCAGUGGGGAAUAUUGGACAAUGGGCGCAAGCCUGAUCCAGCCAUACCGCGUGGGUGAAGAAGGCCUUCGGGUUGUAAAGCCCUUUUGUUGGGAAAGAAAAGCAGCAGGUUAAUACCCCGCUGUUCUGACGGUACCCAAAGAAUAAGCACCGGCUAACUUCGUG